UAAUUUAUUUUUAUUUUGGUUAUUUAUUGCGUUUAAUGAGCAGAUAGGUUUAAUAGUUUGAUAUAUUUAUGGUACAAUGAGUAAUAUAAAAAAUUGUAUUGUUUCUCAGACAUAUUCCGUCUGUUUAUUAAAAACAUUUCUAUAUGGUGAUUGUAUAUAGUAGGGCCUGCUCAGUGUUUGAUUAUUAAUAGCCGCAGUAUUUUGACUGUGCGAAGGUAGCAUAAUUAAUUGCCCUUUAAUUGGGGGCUUGUUUGAAUGGUUUAACGUGAUUGUUGUUAACAUUAUUUUUGUAGUUGAAAUUAAUUUUGAGGGCACAGAAUCCUCUUAUUUUAAUUAGACGGAAAGACCCCGGGAUCUUUUAAUUUUGCCUGGGGCAGGUUAUAGUGUUUCAAAUUUUAUAUUUUGAUCCUAUAUUAGGUCAAUUGGUGUAAGUUACCCCGGGGAUAACAGUGUAAUAGCUUAUUAGAGAUCAUAUCUAUUAAGUUGCUUGCCACCUCGAUGUUGNCUUAAGUAUAUAAUAGGGCGCAGUAGUU
rnacentral:rRNA from 1 species